GAUGAAGAACGUAGCGAAAUGCGAUACGUAGUGUGAAUUGCAGAAUUCAGUGAAUCAUCGAAUCUUUGAACGCACAUUGCACCUCUCGGUAUUCCGGGAGGUAUGCCUGUUCGAGCGUCAUUUGUACCCUCAAGCUCUGCUUGGUGUUGGGUGUUUGUUCCGCCUCUGUGUGUGAACCCGCCUCAAAACAAUUGGCAGCCGGCGUACUUGUUUCGGAGCGCAGCACAUUUUGCGAUCCAGAUCAACGUACAGCGGCAUCCAAGAAGCCUUAUUUAACGCUCUUGACCUCGGAUCAGGUAGGGAUACCCGCUGAACUUAAGCAUAUCAAUAAGCGGAGGA
rnacentral:misc_RNA from 1 species